rnacentral:rRNA from 1 species
UGCAGUCGAACGAUGAAGCUGGGGCUUGCUCUGGUGGAUUAGUGGCGAACGGGUGAGUAACACGUGAGUAACCUGCCCUUGACUCUGGGAUAAGCGUUGGAAACGACGUCUAAUACCGGAUACGAGCUUCAGCCGCAUGGCUAGGAGUUGGAAAGAUUUUUUGGUCAAGGAUGGACUCGCGGCCUAUCAGCUUGUUGGUGAGGUAAUGGCUCACCAAGGCGACGACGGGUAGCCGGCCUGAGAGGGUGACCGGCCACACUGGGACUGAGACACGGCCCAGACUCCUACGGGAGGCAGCAGUGGGGAAUAUUGCACAAUGGGCGAAAGCCUGAUGCAGCAACGCCGCGUGAGGGACGACGGCCUUCGGGUUGUAAACCUCUUUUAGCAGGGAAGAAGCGCAAGUGACGGUACCUGCAGAAAAAGCACCGGCUAACUACGUGCCAGCAGCCGCGGUAAUACGUAGGGUGCAAGCGUUGUCCGGAAUUAUUGGGCGUAAAGAGCUCGUAGGCGGUUUGUCGCGUCUGCUGUGAAAACGCGAGGCUCAACCUCGCGCCUGCAGUGGGUACGGGCAGACUAGAGUGCGGUAGGGGAGAUUGGAAUUCCUGGUGUAGCGGUGGAAUGCGCAGAUAUCAGGAGGAACACCGAUGGCGAAGGCAGAUCUCUG